rnacentral:lncRNA from 1 species
CAUCCCUUCAGUCUGGGUUUUCCAGGAAACACAACUCUGGCAACCUCCAGAUUCACAUCUUGAUCACUUCCCACUUGGGCACCAGAAAGAAGAGGAUACUUCCCUGCUGGCGGUAGGAAGUGGUGCAUGUUUCCAUGGUGUAAAUGCUGCCACCCGACCCAGCUUCAGGUCACCACCACCCGGAGGUCAUCAAUGGAGCGCAGGGAAGAGGUGCUGUCCGGAGCCUGGCUGAGCAGGUGUCAGGAAGACCCUAGAGUACCAGAUGAAGAAUGAG